GAUGAACGCUGGCGGCGUGCCUAAUACAUGCAAGUCGAGCGAACAGACGAGGAGCUUGCUCCUUCGACGUUAGCGGCGGACGGGUGAGUAACACGUAGGUCACCUACCUAUAAGACUGGGAUAACUUCGGGAAACCGGAGCUACUACUGGAUAAUAUUUCGAACCGCAUGGUUCGAUAGUGAAAGAUGGCUUUGCUAUCACUUAUAGAUGGACCCGCGCCGUAUUAGCUAGUUGGUAAGGUAACGGCUUACCAAGGCAACGAUACGUAGCCGACCUGAGAGGGUGAUCAGCCACACUGGAACUGAGACACGGUCCAGACUCCUACGGGAGGCAGCAGUAGGGAAUCUUCGGCAAUGGGCGAAAGCCUGACGGAGCAACACCGCGUGAGUGAUGAAGGUCUUCGGAUCGUAAAACUCUUUUAUUAGGGAAGAACAAACGUGUAAGUAACUGUGCACGUCUUGACGGUACCUAAACAGAAAGCCACGGCUAACUUCGUG
rnacentral:rRNA from 1 species